rnacentral:miRNA from 1 species
UUAUACCUCAUCGACAAGAAGGAUUUCCUUCAGAUCGAUGAGGUAUAACAACCCCAUUGACCAGAAGGAAUUCCUUCCAAUCGAUGAGGUGGAA